rnacentral:rRNA from 1 species
GACGAACGCUGGCGGCGUGCUUAACACAUGCAAGUCGAACGGAAAGGCCCUUCGGGGUACUCGAGUGGCGAACGGGUGAGUAACACGUGGGUGAUCUGCCCUGCACUUUGGGAUAAGCCUGGGAAACUGGGUCUAAUACCGAAUAUGACCACGCGCUUCAUGGUGUGUGGUGGAAAGCUUUUGCGGUGUGGGAUGGGCCCGCGGCCUAUCAGCUUGGUGGUGGGGUAAUGGACUACCAAGGCGACGACGGGUAGCCGGCCUGAGAGGGUGACCGGCCACACUGGGACUGAGAUACGGCCCAGACUCCUACGGGAGGCAGCAGUGGGGAAUAUUGCACAAUGGGCGCAAGCCUGAUGCAGCGACGCCGCGUGAGGGAUGACGGCCUUCGGGUUGUAAACCUCUUUCGCCAGGGACGAAGCGCAAGUGACGGUACCUGGAGAAGAAGGACCGGCCAACUACGUGCCAGCAGCAGCCGCGG